rnacentral:lncRNA from 1 species
CACCAAUAAACUGAUAAUAGGUGGACAUACCACUGCUUCUCCCUGGAGGAUGUGGAAAUUGUGGUCAUAUCAUCAGGCAGCAGCUCCAUCAUGCCUCUCACAGCUUCCCAAGUAGCAGCCCAAAGUAAAUCUCCACAGAAAGGCACAGGCCCUUCAGAACCUGGAGUCACCACAGGGCCCUGCCCGGUAACCACGGAGCCACUAGACUCAACCGACUGCAGAGAAUCCCCCAGCAUUCCGCCUGGAACCCAGCAGCAACUGACAGCUUUAACAGAGAAAAUUAUGGCUAAGUAACAUUCCAAGUCUUCUAAGCCCAAGGACCAUAUGGCAACAUCAACUGAUAAACCAGCCACCACCUGAAAAGAAGCUCAAAUUGACAACUGUGAGACAUAAUUCAAAGAGACUCCAAAUAGGCGAUUUGAUACCCUGGACGUGACUGAAGACUUGUUGAACAUUGCAGGCCAUAACAAUCACUAGCUGACUCAAGUGAUGUCAUAUGGAAUGAAAGAACUGCCCAUUCUAAAUUGCUGUUCUACAGAAUUGUGGGAAAUAAUCAUAAUAUUUCAUCCAUGAGCUUAAACACUAGUCCAGGUAGACCAACAUAUGUGGGUUUUGGACCCAGAGAAUGAAAGAGGAAGACAUUUUUUAUGGAUAUUAAAGAGAUACAAAUCCAAAAAGUACUAGACCAUUUAGAUGGAUUUGAGAUAUCAUGAGAGAGACUUCAGGAAGAUAUACAGUUUUCUAGUUUGAGUUGUGACUAGCAGGAUGAGUUGAUGCCAUUUUUCACUUAUAUAGAGCUUAAUAGCAUAUGAACAGCUUUUGGUAUGAGGAGGGUGGAUAUGGGAAAUUUGUUUGGAUUUGAAAAUGUGGAUUUUUUUUUUGUAUAUAUAUAUUU